rnacentral:rRNA from 1 species
GAUGAACGCUGGCGGCGUGCCUAACACAUGCAAGUCGAGCGUGAUUUAUGAGGACGAAACUUCGGUCUAGGAAUCAUAAUGAAAGCGGCGGACGGGUGAGUAACGCGUAGGCAACCUGCCCUUGACACAGGGAUAGCCUCGGGAAACCGGGGUUAAAACCUGAUGACGCAAAACAGUCACAUGGCUGUUUGGCCAAAGAUUUAUCGGUCAAGGAUGGGCCUGCUUCUGAUUAGUUAGUUGGUGGGGUAACGGCCUACCAAGACGACGAUCAGUAGCCGACCUGAGAGGGUGAUCGGCCACAUUGGAACUGAGACACGGUCCAAACUCCUACGGGAGGCAGCAGUGGGGAAUAUUGCACAAUGGGCGAAAGCCUGAUGCAGCAACGCCGCGUGAGCGAUGAAGGCCUUUGGGUCGUAAAGCUCUGUCCUUGGGGAAGAAACAAAUGACGGUACCCAAGGAGGAAACCCCGGCUAACUACGUGCCAGCAGCCGCUGUAAAAC